GGCGAACGGGUGAGGAACACGUGAAGAAUCUGCCCUCCACUUUGGGAUAACACCGGGAAACCGGUGCUAAUACCGAAUAUUGAAACAAAAGUGGCAUCACUGAGUUUUGAAAGAAUUUCGGUGGAGGAUGACUUCGCGGCCUAUCAGCUAGUUGGUGAGGUAAUGGCUCACCAAGGCAACGACGGGUAGCCGGCCUGAGAGGGCGACCGGCCACACUGGGACUGAGACACGGCCCAGACUCCUACGGGAGGCAGCAGUGGGGAAUAUUGGGCAAUGGAGGAAACUCUGACCCAGCGACGCCGCGUGCGGGAUGAAGGCCUUCGGGUUGUAAACCGCUUUCAGUAGGGAAGAAGCGAAAGUGACGGUACCUACAAAAGAAGCACCGGCUAACUAUGUGCCAGCAGCCGCGGUAAUACAUAGGGUGCAAGCGUUGUCCGGAAUUAUUGGGCGUAAAGAGCUCGUAGGUCGUUUGUUACGUCGGAUGUGAAAACCUGAGGCUCAACCUCAGGCCUGCAUUCGAUACGGGCAAACUAGAGUUUGGUAGGGGAGACUGGAAUUCCUGGUGUAGCGAUGGAAUGCGCAGAUAUCAGGAGGAACACCAAUGGCGAAGGCAGGUCUCUGGGCCAAUACUGACACUGAGGAGCGAAAGUCUGGGGAGCGAACAGGAUUAGAUACCCUGGUAGUCCAGACCGUAAACGGUGGGCACUAGUUGUGGGAACCUUCCACGGUUUCU
rnacentral:rRNA from 1 species